GUCUAUGGCCACGCCACCCUUAACAAGCCCGAUUCUGUCUGAUUUCGGAAGCUAAGCAGGGUUGGGCCUGGUUAGUACUUGAAUGGGAGACUACGUAGGAAAACCAGGUGCUGUAGGCA
rnacentral:rRNA from 1 species